AUCCCCAGCUCCAGAGAAAACUGAGAGACGGAGGGCGUCCCUCACAUGGAGCUGACAGUGUCCCCAACCCCAGCCCAGAGCAAACUCUGAGAGACAGAGCGCGUCCCUCACACAGAGCUGACAGUGUCCCUAUCCCCAGCCCAGAGCAAACUGAGAGAUGGAGGGCGUCCUUCACAUGGAGCUGACAGUGUCCCCAUCCCCAGCCCAGAGCACUGGCUCAGAGAUUUUGCUUGGAGUGAGAAGCAGUAAGUAAAAGAGAUGGUUUCUAAUCUCCUCCCAAAAGAACCAACUUCAUUUGCAGCAGAACACUGGAGAAGCUGAAAGCCCAGGGUCUCCUCAAGAACGUGGAGGUUGUCAUAAAAGGCAUUUGGGACAUUCGUGGAUUUAAUGCAGAUUGAGGACUGUGAUAGCUGAGAGGAGCCCUCCAGGGCCAAAACAAAUAUCAAACAUGGACAUCAGAAGCUCUCCUUUAAAUAAGGCACAACUUAACUGGAUUAAUUGUAGAGUAAUUUAUGUCCCAGAUAUUGUUGAAAACAGUAGAGCAAUCCAAUGGCAGCUGGUGGAAUUUAAUAGCUGGGUGUGGUCAGGGAAAGAGAGGAAGAGAUCUCUAUCAAAAUCCUGUCAUUCCAGGGUGACUCUGGGCACAUGGAAGCCACCUCUCCCUAAGGAGCAAGCCAGAGGCAUAACACUGCUGGCGGGGCUGGGGGGUAGGGGGAUGGGCUAGGCGUCACUCCAGUAACCUCACAAGUCACCACACCAGUAAGUAAGCAAAUAACUAAACAAGCCCCACACAGGGGGACCAGUAUCUAGAGCUGCUACAAUACAUUGUCUAAAAUGCCCAGUUUCUAACAAAACAUUGUGAAGCAUGCAAAGAAACGCAAAACUACGACCCCCACAUUUAAAUUAAAAAAAAAAAAAAAAAAGACAUCAGAAACUGCCUGGGACAAUGACCAGAUAUUGGAUUUAAUGGAAAAAGACGUCAAAAUAUCCUUUAUAUGCUCCCAGAACUAAAGAAAAUCUUGAUUAAAGAAGUAAAAGAAGGCACGAUGACAAUGUCACAUCUCGUAGAGACUGCUGAUAGACAGAAACUAUAAAAAAGAACCACGAGGAAGUCUGGAGCUGGAAGGCAGGAUGGCUGAAGAGAGUAAUUCUCUGUCGGGACUCAACAGUCGAUUUGAACUGGCAGAAGAAAGUGACUUGAAGAUGCAUCAGUGGAGAUGACACAAACCCAGCACAGAGAGCAAGUAGAAUUAGAAAGGCAAGGAGAGGCUUGGAGAACAGAGGGACACGUGAGGUCACCAAGGACGCACACACAUGGGCUGCACUAGAGGGAAAGGAGAGAGGAAGAAAGAGAUGAAAAAAUGUUAAAAGAAAAAUGGUUGAAAUGUUGCAAAUUAGUUUUAAAAAAUAACCUGCAAACCAGGAUUCUCAUUGAACUCCAACUGGGGCAAACCUAUAGAGACUCACAAACUGAUACAUAAAAUGCUGAAAGUCAAUAAUAAGGAGAAAAUCUCAAAAGCCAAAACAAUAAAAUAAUGUAUCACUUAAAAGGGAACCCCAAUAAGGUGAACAUACGACUUCUAAGCAGCCACUAUGUGAGCCAGGAGGCAGUGGCCUAAGGUAGCCAAAGGAAAGGAAAGGAGACAAGAGAGGAGGGAUAGUGCGGAAUGGGGAGAGGGAGGGAGAAAGGAAGGAAGGAAGGGACGGAGGGAGGAAACCUGUUGGUCCCAAAUCCAGUGCUCCGCAGAACGUUCCUUCAAGACUGAAGGUGAAAGACUUUCAGAAAAACAGAGUUUGUUGCUAGCAGACCCAUCUGACAAAAAAUACUCAAGGAAGUUCUUGAGGCAGUGAGCAGGAAACUUUUGACAGUGAUUGAAAUCACAGGAAGAAAACAGAGGGCCGCUUACAAGACAGUACAAAUACACAUUUCUCCUUUUAAAACUGGUGUGAAAAGUGAUUGUAUAAAAUAAUGAUUAUCAGAACAUAUUCAUAGGUUUGUAACGUGACUGUUUAUAAAGCAGAAUGUAUAAAAAGGGGAGAAGGGAAUGGACGUAGCUACAUAGGAAUAGUGUUUUGUGUGUCACUAAACUAUUACAAAUCUGAAGCUGAGUAACGUGAAAAUGAAUAUGGUAAAUAGUUGAGCAAUCCCUAAAGCAAAAAGAAAAGUUUUAAAAAGCUUCACUAAAAAUAAUGCAAAGAAAUAAAAAGAAAACAAAUAAAUGAGGGGAAGACAUAUGAAAAGUGAAAUGGCAGCUCUCCAUGCAGCUAUAUCAAUAAUAACAUCAAAUGAGAGUGGAUUUAACAACCAAGCAAAAGCAGACUGUCAGUCUGAAUUAAGAAAACAGGACCCAACUUUCUGCAGUCUACAGAACACGUACUUUCUAUUCAAAGAUUCACACAGAGACUAAGAUGAUGGGAAAAGAGCACCCAAAGAGCAGCCUCAGGAUGGCCAGGGAGGCUACUCCUGUGAGACAGAAAGCCUCUUGAAAACAACUGUAUGAAGAUGAAUGUUUACAGCGAUAAGAGCACCGCUCUGUGAGAAAGACAUAACAAUUAUGAACAAAUGUGCAGUCAACAAGAGAACCCGAAAAUGUAUGAAGCAAAAGCUCAGAAUGAGGAAGAAAGUUCUACGACAGAGAAUGAGGACUCUCUACAGAAUGAGGGAGAAAGUUCUACCACAGAGAAUGGGGACUCUCUACAAAAUGAGGGAGGAAGCUCUACCACAGAGAAUGGGGACUCUCUACAAAAUGAGGGAGGAAGCUCUACCACAGAGAAUGGGGACUCUCUACAGAAUGACGGAGGAAGUUCUACCACAAACAAUGGGGACUCUAUGGAACAAGGGAGAAAGUUCUACCACAGAGAAUGGGGACUCUCUACAGAGUGAGGGAGAAAGUUCUACCACAGACAAUGGGGACUCUACAGAAUGAUGAAGAAAGUUCUAGGACAGAGAAUGGGGACUCUACAGAAUGAGGGAGAAAGCUGUAUCACAGAGAAUGGGGACUCUCUACAGAAUGAGGGAGAAAGUUCUACCACAGAGAAUGGAGACUCCACAGAAUGAGGGAGAAAG